rnacentral:rRNA from 1 species
CGGUGUUCAACUGGCGUGUCCGCGGGACGUCCUGCCGGUGGGCUUAGCCCGCAAGGGCGGCCCCAACUUCAAAUCCCAUCGCGGUGCUCUUCACUGAGUGUCGAGGUGGGCCGGCACGUUUACUUUGAACAAAUUAGAGUGCUUAAAGCAGGCUAAAACUUCGCCUGAAUACUGUGUGCAUGGAAUAAUGGAAUAGGACCUCGGUUCUAUUUUGUUGGUUUUCGGAACCCCGAGGUAAUGAUUAAUAGGAACGGAUGGGGGCAUUCGUAUUGCGACGUUAGAGGUGAAAUUCUUGGAUCGUCGCAAGACGGACAGAAGCGAAAGCAUUUGCCAAAAACGCUUUCAUUGAUCAAGAACGAAAGUUAGAGGUUCGAAGGCGAUCAGAUACCGCCCUAGUUCUAACCAUAAACGAUGCCAGCUAGCGAUCCGUCGACGUUCCUCCGAUGACUCGACGGGCAGCUUCCGGGAAACCAAAGCUUUUGGGUUCCGGGGGAAGUAUGGUUGCAAAGCUGAAACUUAAAGGAAUUGACGGAAGGGCACCACCAGGAGUGGAGCCUGCGGCUUAAUUUGACUCAACACGGGAAACCUCACCAGGCCCGGACACCGGAAGGAUUGACAGAUUGAGAGCUCUUUCUUGAUUCGGUGGGUGGUGGUGCAUGGCCGUUCUUAGUUGGUGGAGCGAUUUGUCUGGUUAAUUCCGAUAACGAACGAGACUCUAGCCUGCUAACUAGGCGUAUUUUCGACAUCUCAAAGGUCCGUCGUCCCGGCCCUCGGGUCGUGGGCGUGCGCGAUUUUUACUGUCGGCGUACUAUCAAUUCUUCUUAGAGGGACAGGCUGGCUUCUAGCCGCACGAGAUUGAGCAAUAACAGGUCUGUGAUG